rnacentral:rRNA from 1 species
UACGAAGGGGGCUAGCGUUGUUCGGAUUUACUGGGCGUAAAGGGCGCGUAGGCGGUGUGUCAAGUCAGGCGUGAAAGCCCCGGGCUCAACCUGGGAACCGCGCUUGAGACUGGCACGCUCGAGUUCGGGAGAGGAUGGUGGAAUUCCCAGUGUAGAGGUGAAAUUCGUAGAUAUUGGGAAGAACACCGAUGGCGAAGGCAGCCAUCUGGACCGACACUGACGCUGAGGCGCGAAAGCGUGGGGAGCAAACAGG